ACCCAAAGGCGAGAUGGGGACGGGCGAUGGAGGCGUUGGUGAGCUGGACGGUGAAGGCGUCAGUGACAAGGACGCCGAGAGAGGACCACUUGUCGGCAUAGUGGAUCUCAUAGUCGCAUUGUUCUGGACCAUCGCAGUCACGGUGGCCGGGUACGCUGGGGCAGAGGGGGUGGCUGCAGAUGAUCACCCUGUUUUUUGCCGGACGGUACAAAGGAUGGGGACACUUGGGGCAGCGAACGCAGGGGGCGUUGCAGUGAAGCCAGGAGAGAUCACUGCCGGUGUCGACGUCGAGGAUGUAGGGUUUUGGGGG
rnacentral:misc_RNA from 1 species